rnacentral:rRNA from 1 species
GCGGGACACGUGGUAUCCUGUCUGAAUAUGGGGGGACCAUCCUCCAAGGCUAAAUACUCCUGACUGACCGAUAGUGAACCAGUACCGUGAGGGAAAGGCGAAAAGAACCCCGGCGAGGGGAGUGAAAAAGAACCUGAAACCGUGUACGUACAAGCAGUGGGAGCCUCUUAAUGGGGUGACUGCGUACCUUUUGUAUAAUGGGUCAGCGACUUAUAUUCUGUAGCAAGGUUAACCGAAUAGGGGAGCCGAAGGGAAACCGAGUCUUAACUGGGCGUUAAGUUGCAGGGUAUAGACCCGAAACCCGGUGAUCUAGCCAUGGGCAGGUUGAAGGUUGGGUAACACUAACUGGAGGACCGAACCGACUAAUGUUGAAAAAUUAGCGGAUGACUUGUGGCUGGGGGUGAAAGGCCAAUCAAACCGGGAGAUAGCUGGUUCUCCCCGAAAGCUAUUUAGGUAGCGCCUCGUGAAUUCAUCUCCGGGGGUAGAGCACUGUUUCGGCAAGGGGGUCAUCCCGACUUACCAACCCGAUGCAAACUGCGAAUACCGGAGAAUGUUAUCACGGGAGACACACGGCGGGUGCUAAC